AGGCAUGGGGCCGGCACCACAGCCAGCGUUGAUGCAAGGGUCAGCCGCAAGGGCAGGCGCUUCUGAUUGUAUGACAAGCGACAAGCUAAUUGAAGAUGGCGUCCUCCAUACUGACCGAUCCCUAGGCGGACCCGAGCGGAACCGCACAGCUGGCUCGCCUCAUUCGCAGGCGGCUGAUGUUCUGACCUUAGCUCCACAUCUGUCAGAGCGCCAGGAUGGCGACAUCACCAAACCACUAAUGAACAGGAAGGCCUGACGGACUGCAGAAGUGUUUGUUCCGCUCUCCCGGCUUACGAAGUUGGCAAUAGUUCACUCGGCGCGCAUCAGUGUGAGAGCCCAGCAUACCACCUGAGCCACACUGCUCCUGUUUUUACCGGGAGACUCUCAGAAUCCGGCCUGCCUCAUCUACUCCCAGGCUGUCCUGUUCGGACCCUGCGGCCAGGGUGAGAAGGAACAAGAGCGCCAGUUUGGAGUGGGUUCACUCCGAGCCAACAGCAGCUUCCUGCAGACAGUAACCUCAACUGGUGCUGGGUACGACAGUAUGGCAGAUUAUUUAUUAUUAUUAUUUGUGGGAAGCAUGACGGCCUUAUGCCUCCAGGGUUGGGGGUUCAAACUGUGUGCAUGUGAAGCUCGCAUG